ACAAGCGUGGAGCAUGUGGUUUAAUUCGAAGCAACGCGAAGAACCUUACCAGGUCUUGACAUCCCGAUGCUAUUUCUAGAGAUAGAAAGUUACUUCGGUACAUCGGUGACAGGUGGUGCAUGGUUGUCGUCAGCUCGUGUCGUGAGAUGUUGGGUUAAGUCCCGCAACGAGCGCAACCCCUAUUGUUAGUUGCCAUCAUUCAGUUGGGCACUCUAGCGAGACUGCCGGUAAUAAACCGGAGGAAGGUGGGAUGACGUCAAAUCAUCAUGCCCCUUAUGACCUGGGCUACACACGUGCUACAAUGGUUGGUACAACGAGUUGCGAGUCGGUGACGGCGAGCUAAUCUCUUAAAGCCAAUCUCAGUUCGGAUUGUAGGCUGCAACUCGCCUACAUGAAGUCGGAAUCGCUAGUAAUCGCGGAUCAGCACGCCCGCGGUCCGAAUACGUUCCGGCCUU
rnacentral:rRNA from 1 species